rnacentral:rRNA from 1 species
GACGAACGCUGGCGGCGUGCUUAACACAUGCAAGUCGAACGGAAAGGCCCUGCUUUUGUGGGGUGCUCGAGUGGCGAACGGGUGAGUAACACGUGAGUAACCUGCCCUUGACUUUGGGAUAACUUCAGGAAACUGGGGCUAAUACCGGAUAGGAGCUCCUGCUGCAUGGUGGGGGUUGGAAAGUUUCGGCGGUUGGGGAUGGACUCGCGGCUUAUCAGCUUGUUGGUGGGGUAGUGGCUUACCAAGGCUUUGACGGGUAGCCGGCCUGAGAGGGUGACCGGCCACAUUAGGACUGAGAUACGGCCCAGACUCCUACGGGAGGCAGCAGUGGGGAAUAUUGCACAAUGGGCGGAGGCCUGAUGCAGCAACGCCGCGUGCGGGAUGACGGCCUUCGGGUUGUAAACCGCUUUCGCCUGUGACGAAGCGUGAGUGACGGUAAUGGGUAAAGAAGCACCGGCUAACUACGUG